GUGCUCACUUCAGCAGCACAUAUAAGAAGAUUGGAAUGAUGCUGAGAAGGUUGGCAUGGGCCCUGUACAAGGAUAACAUGUAAACGUGUGAAGUUCCAUAUAGUGAG